rnacentral:rRNA from 1 species
AACGAACGCUGGCGGCGCGCCUAACACAUGCAAGUCGAACGAGAAGGCGUAGCAAUACGCUUGUAGAGUGGCGAACGGGUGAGUAAUACGUGGGUGACCUACCCUCGAGUGGGGAAUAACCCGCCGAAAGGCGGGCUAAUGCCGCGUACGCUUCCGUCCUCACGGGGACGGAAGGAAAGCUGUACCGUGGGUACGCGCUCAAGGAUGGGGCUCACGUCCUAUCAGCUUGUUGGUAGGGUAACGGCCACCAAGGCUACGACGGGUAGCUGGUCUGAGAGGACGAUCAGCCACACUGGCACUGCGACACGGGCCAGACUCCUACGGGAGGCAGCAGUGAGGAAUAUUGCGCAAUGGGCGAAAGCCUGACGCAGCGACGCCGCGUGGGGAUGAAGGUCUUCGGAUUGUAAACCCCUGUCAGAGGGAAAGAAGGGUGUCGGCGCGAUAACCGCCGGCACCU